UACGUAGGGGGCUAGCGUUGUCCGGAAUCAUUGGGCGUAAAGGGCUGGUAGGCGGCCAACUAAGUCGGAUGUGAAAUCCCCAGGCUUAACCUGGGAACUGCAUCCGAUACUGGUCGGCUUGAAUCCGGGAGAGGGAUGCAGAAUUCCAGGUGUAGCGGUGAAAUGCGUAGAUAUCUGGAGGAAUACCGGUGGCGAAGGCAGCUCGCUGGGACGGUACUGACGCUGAGGCGCGAAAGCGUGGGGAGCGAACAGG
rnacentral:rRNA from 1 species